rnacentral:rRNA from 1 species
GACGAACGCUGGCGGCGUGCUUAACACAUGCAAGUCGAACGGUGAAGCGCCUUCCUUUUUGGUGGGCGUGGAUGAGUGGCGAACGGGUGAGUAACACGUGAGUAACCUGCCCCCUUCUUCUGGAUAACCGCAUGAAAGUGUGGCUAAUACGGGAUAUUCUGGGUCUGUCGCAUGAUGGGUCUGGGAAAGAUAUUGUUUCGGUGGGGGAUGGGCUCGCGGCCUAUCAGCUUGUUGGUGGGGUGAUGGCCUACCAAGGCGGUGACGGGUAGCCGGCCUGAGAGGGUGGACGGUAACACGGGGAAUGAGACAAGGGCCAGACUCCUACGGGAGGCAGCAGUGGGGAAUAGUGCACAAUGGGCGAAAGCCUGAUGCAGCGACGCCGCGUGAGGGAUGGAGGCCUUCGGGUUGUGAACCUCUUUCGCCAGUGAAGCAGGCCUGCCUCGUUUGUGGGUGGGUUGACGGUAGCUGGAUAAGAAGCGCCGGCUAACUACGUG